CAUGAAAACUGGUUAGCUAGAGUGCAGAAGAGGGUAGUGGAAUUCCAUGUGUAGCGGUAAAAUGCGUAGAUAUAUGGAGGAACACCAGUGGCGAAGGCGGCUACCUGGUCUGUAACUGACGAUGAGGCACGAAAGCGUGGGGAGCAAAUAGGAUUAGAUACCCUAGUAGUCCACGCUGUAAACGAUGAAUACUAAGUGUUGGGGAAACUCAGUGCUGCAGUUAACGCAAUAAGUAUUCCGCCUGGGGAGUAUGCACGCAAGUGUGAAACUCAAAGGAAUUGACGGGGGCCCGCACAAGCGGUGGAUUAUGUGGUUUAAUUCGAUGCAACGCGAAGAACCUUACCAGGUCUUGACAUCCUGACAAAGGCCUCAGAGAUGAGGAGAUAGAUAUGUCAGAGACAGGUGGUGCAUGGUUGUCGUCAGCUCGUGUCGUGAGAUGUUGGGUUAAGUCCCGCAACGAGCGCAACCCUUGUCUUUAGUUACCAUCAUUAAGUUGGGGACUCUAGAGAGACUGCCGGUGACAAACCGGAGGAAGGUGGGGAUGACGUCAAAUCAUCAUGCCCCUUAUGACCUGGGCUACACACGUAAUACAAUGGCGUAUACAGAGGGAAGCGAAGUAGUGAUAUGGAGCGAAACUCACAAAGUACGUCUCAGUUCGGAUUGAAGUCUGCAACUCGACUUCAUGAAGUUGGAAUCGCUAGUAAUCGCGGAUCAGCAUGCCGCGGUGAAUACGUUCUCGGGCCUUGUACACACCGCCCGUCAAANCCAUGAGAGUUGGUAAUACCCGAAGGCCCAGUGGCCUAACCCGCAAGGAGGGAGCYGUCGAAGGUAGGAUCGAUGAUUGGGGUUAAGUCGUAACAAGGUAUCCCUACGGGAACGUGGGGAUGGAUCACCUCCUUUCUAAGGAGAAAGAAAAGCAGUAAAGAAGAGAAUUGACAACUUCCUAUUUAGUUUUGAGAGAUAGCUCUCAGUAGUUCUUUGAAAACCGAAUAACAGAAAUGACAUGAUCUUUCUGAAUAGUUAAAAUAAGAUUUUACCAAAUCAAAAAAAACAGUAAAAUUAAACAGUUCAAACACACAGAACAGAAAUAAAGUAAGUGAUUAAAUUAAUAAGAGCGUAUGGUGAAUGCCUUGGCAUUAAGAGACGAAGAAGGACGCAACUAACGGCGAAACGCCUCGGGGAGUGGUAAGUACACAAAGAUCCGGGGAUCUCCGAAUGGGGCAACCC
rnacentral:sRNA from 1 species